UACAGAGGUCUCAAGCGUUGUUCGGAUUCAUUGGGCGUAAAGGGUGCGUAGGCGGUGGGGCAAGUCAGGUGUGAAAUCCCGGAGCUCAACUCCGGAACUGCACUUGAUACUGCCUUGCUAGAGUACUGGAGAGGAGACUGGAAUUUACGGUGUAGCAGUGAAAUACGUAGAGAUCGUAAGGAAGACCAGUGGCGAAGGCGAGUCUCUGGACAGUUACUGACGCUGAGGCACGAAGGCCAGGGGAGCAAACGGG
rnacentral:rRNA from 1 species